CAACAACCUUUCCUGUUCCAUUUCCAGCUUCCUAAGCUUCUUCUCUGCUCCAGGACUGCCUGAGCUCCUUCCUUCCAGGUUACUUUCCACUCGGCUCAUUUUGCCCCAAGGGCUUGGGCAUAUGCUAACCUGUCUAGCUGGGUGCACUGCCACAGUCUUAAAGCCACCCUCAGUGUCACCCUGGAAUAUUUCUGUUCAUAGAACUAUCACUGUCUAAAUUUAUCUUGGUUAUCUAUAAUGGGUAAACCAGAUAGAAUAAAAUUGGUGGAGUGCAAUCUGAAAAGUCUGUCUCUCCCACUACUACUGUCCAAAGCCUUGAAGAAGAUGCCUUUCUCCAACAACUUUUGUUAUCUCAGGAUGGUUCUCAGUGCCAGAAGAGUCUCCUUUAGAGGUAUUGCAGAAAUCCAAAAUCAACACUUUCUUCUGACAUGCAACUGAAGCUUCUCCUGAUCCUCCCUUUCUGGCACCCCAUUCUCACUCUCAAGCUUGUCUGGGAAUUUUGCAGACUGCUCCUGGGGAAGGAGCUAUACACAGGAAUCUCUGAGUCUCAAAAGGAUGAAGGAGUCACAAGAUGGAACGAGCCUGGCUCCCUGAAUCACAACAUGGAGGAUGCCACCCACCAACCAGGAACACAUUCACUAGAUGGUUACAAUUGUUAAAAAAAUCUUUUACUGUGUUAAGCCAUUGCAAAUUUAGGGUUUAUUUGCUGUAUCAGCGUGAUAUACCCUAAAAUACAUAUUUAGCAAUUUCUAUUAGUACCCAACUGCCUUUCCUAACAUAGCGAUGAGAUUAUCUAUGGUUCUCAGGUUUGUGACUUUAUUUGAAAAUCCAGCUGGAAACCAUCAUUCUCAGCAAACUAUCGCAAGGACAAAAAACCAAACACCGCGUGUUCUCACUCAUAGGUGGGAACUGAACAAUGAGAACACAUGGACACAGGAAGGGGAAUAUCACACACGGGGGCCUGUUGUGGGGUGGGGGGAGGGGGGAGGGAUAGCAUUAGGAGAUAUACCUGAUGUUAAAUGACGAGUUAAUGGGUGCAGUACACCAACAUGGCACAUGUAUACAUAUGUAACAAACCUGCACGUUGUGCACAUGUACCCUAAAACUUAAUGUGUAAUAAUAAUAAUAAUAAAAAUCCAAGAUAAAA
rnacentral:lncRNA from 1 species